AACGAACGCUGGCGGCGUGCCUAACACAUGCAAGUCGUGCGAGAAAGUUCCUUCGGGAGCGAGUAAAGCGGCGCACGGGUGAGUAACACGUAGGUAACCUGCCCCCCAGUCUGGAACAACUAGAGGAAACUCUAGCUAAUGCCGGAUGAGACCACGAUCCCUUCGGGGGUUGCGGCCAAAGAUGGCCUCUACUUGUAAGCUAUCGCUGAGGGAUGGGCCUGCGGGCCAUUAGCUUGUUGGUGAGGUAACGGCUCACCAAGGCUGUGAUGGCUAGCUGGUCUGAGAGGAUGACCAGCCACACUGGGACUGAGACACGGCCCAGACUCCUACGGGAGCAGCAGUGGGGAAUAUUGGCGCAAUGGGCGAAAGCCUGACGCAGCGACGCCGCGUGGGUGAUGAAGG
rnacentral:rRNA from 1 species